UGCGUAGGCAGCAAGCGUUGUUCGGAAUUACUGGGCGUAAAGAGUGUGUAGGCGGUUCUCUAAGUUCGGUGUGAAAUCUCCCGGCUUAACUGGGAGGGUGCGCCGGAAACUGGAGUGCUUGAGCGCGGGAGAGGAAAGCGGAAUUCCUGGUGUAGCGGCGAAAUGCGUAGAUAUCAGGAGGAACACCUGUGGUGUAGACGGCUUUCUGGACCGUAGCUGACGCUGAGACACGAAAGCGUGGGUAGCAAACAGG
rnacentral:rRNA from 1 species